CCCACUACUCAGGACUCUUGUGCCCUGUAAAGCUCCCAUGGGGCUAGCUGGGCUAAUACUGGUGUCUGUCUUAAUUAGAGUUACUAAUGCUGUGAUGAAACACUAUGACCAAAAGCAGCUUGAGGAGGAAAGGGUUUAAUUGGCUUACGUAUCCUGAAUCACAGCCCAUUGAGGGAAACCAAGAUAGGAACUCAAACCAGAUGAGAACCUGAAGGCAGAAGCUGAUGCAGAGGCCAUGGAGGAGUGCUAAAUAUCCAGGACUACCAGCCCAGUGGAGCAAAAAUUUGGGGAAAUCAUGACUAUUCCUGGACUGUUAACUGCUCCUCAUGGUCCUGGAGGCUGGAUUUGCAGACCAAGUCAGAGUUCCCCAGAGAACUGCACUAGACUGUACCUCAUCUCUCCCGGAUCCUGUAAUUGACCCCUUAUUGGUUGUAAGUUACCCCUGAAAUAAACCUCUUUUAAUUACCAGAUA